CUUGUUUCCUUUAAAUUGUCAAACAGAAACUUUGCAAUAACGUUGUUCUUUUAUCAAAUACAAUAAAUAUGAGUGAAUUAGGUGGGUGUAAUUUAUUUGAAUCACAAGCAAUAGUUGCCGAUCACAAAGACUUAAUUCAUGAUGUGGCUUACGACUUCUAUGGGGAGAGAAUGGCGACAUGCUCUAGCGACCAGUAUGUAAAGGUGUGGGAUUCUGAUGGGCAAGGUGGUUGGAAACUGACUGCAAGCUGGAAAGCACAUCACGGCUCAGUGUGGAAAGUCACAUGGGCACAUCCUGAGUUUGGACAAGUUCUGGCUACUUGUUCCUUUGAUAGGACAGCUGCUAUAUGGGAAGAAGUUGGUGACACAGCAGCAUCGGGUACAGAAAAAGGGCUCAGGACUUGGGUGAAGAGAUCAAAUCUAGUGGAUUCCAGGACUUCGGUCACAGAUGUGAAGUUUGGGCCCAAGCAUCUAGGGUUACUAUUAGUUACAUGUUCUGCUGAUGGUAUUAUAAGGAUAUAUGAAGCUCCCGAUGUAAUGAAUUUAGCACAAUGGACCCUGCAACAUGAAAUACCAACCAAGGUCUCUAUCAGUUGUCUGUCGUGGAACCCAUCAUUAUCAAGAAGCAGCAGUAACCCACCGAUGUUGGCGGUGGGCAGCGACGAGCCCAGCGUUGCUGAUAAAGCCAGUUCAGAACGAGUCUUCAUAUAUGAGUACAGUGAAUCCUCAAGGCGUUGGACCAGGACGGAGUGUUUGUCGUCUGUGGUGGAACCGGUCAAUGACCUCGCCUUCGCGCCGAACCUCGGCCGCUCCUUCCACCUGCUCGCUGUGGCCACUAAAGACGUGAGGAUCAUCAAAAUUGAACCGUUGCCUGAGUCUUCCGGUUCCGCUAACGGCAGCGUCCGCUUCAAGUCGGAAGUGUUGGCCGCCUUCGAGGAGCAUUCGUCUUGUGUGUGGCGCGUCGCCUGGAACGUUACCGGGACCAUGCUGGCGUCUUCCGGGGACGACUGCUGUAUCAGGCUAUGGAAGAUGCAAUACAUGAACCAGUGGAAAGGUGUCGGUGUGUUCAAGAGUGAGGCGACUGGGGGAGAAGCGACCGCGCCGGCGCGUGCUCACACCACCUAUACAAGACUGGCGCCCAUGGCCAACCCAGCACACAUGCCCUACCACUGAUGGUGAGUCUCGCGCCCAUGGCCAACCCAGCACACAUGCCCUACCACUGAUGAUCGUCUAUCAUGGUAUCUUCAAUUUCCGAGAAGUGGAGUUCCAUGAAGUUAAAUGUAGCAAAUUUUGUGCAUAUGAUAUAAUGAGUGUGAAUCCCAAGUGUAAUUAAUGAACAGAUGCAUAUUUUUCCAAUAAUCAUUACUUGAGAAAAGUCGUUGAAUAAAAUACUUUCAUAUCGUUGGUUUUA